rnacentral:rRNA from 1 species
GAUGAACGCUAGCUACAGGCUUAACACAUGCAAGUCGCAGGGUAACAUGAGGAAAGCUUGCUUUCCUUGAUGACGACUGGCGCACGGGUGAGUAACGCGUAUCCAACCUUCCCAUAACUACGGGAUAACCCGUUGAAAGACGGCCUAAUACCGUAUGAUAUCGUUUGCUGACAUCAAAUAACGAUUAAAGGUUUAGCGGUUAUGGAUGGGGAUGCGUCUGAUUAGCUUGUUGGCGGGGUAACGGCCCACCAAGGCGACGAUCAGUAGGGGUUCUGAGAGGAAGGUCCCCCACAUUGGAACUGAGACACGGUCCAAACUCCUACGGGAGGCAGCAGUGAGGAAGAUUGGUCAAUGGGCGAGAGCCUGAACCAGCCAAGUAGCGUGCAGGACGACGGCCCUAUGGGUGGUAAACUGCUUUUAUGGGGGGAUAAAGUGCGUGACGUGUCAUGCAUUGCAGGUACCACAUGAAUAAGGACCGGCUAAUUCCGUG